rnacentral:rRNA from 1 species
UACGUAGGGUCCGAGCGUUGUCCGGAAUUAUUGGGCGUAAAGAGCGUGUAGGCGGCCAGGUAGGUCUGCUGUGAAAACUCGAGGCUCAACCUCGAGACGUCGGCGGAAACCAUCUGGCUAGAGUCCGGAAGAGGAGAGUGGAAUUCCUGGUGUAGCGGUGAAAUGCGCAGAUAUCAGGAAGAACACCCGUGGCGAAGGCGGCUCUCUGGGACGGUACUGACGCUGAGACGCGAAAGCGUGGGGAGCGAACAGG